rnacentral:misc_RNA from 1 species
AACGCACAUUGCGCCCCUUGGUAUUCCGAGGGGCAUGCCUGUUCGAGCGUCAUUAUAACAACUCAAGCCUGGCUUGGUAUUGGGGUCCGCAGUCUCGCGGCCCUUAAAAUCAGUGGCGGUGCCCUCUGGCUCUAAGCGUAGUAAUGCUCUCGCUAUAGGGUCCGGGUGGUGGCUGCCAUAACCCCAACUUCUAAGUUUGACCUCGGAUCAGGUAGGGAUACCCGCUGAACUUAA